AUACGGAGGGUGCGAGCGUUAAUCGGAAUUACUGGGCGUAAAGCGCGCGUAGGCGGUUUGAUAAGUCGGAUGUGAAAGCCCCGGGCUUAACCUGGGAACUGCAUUCGAUACUGUCAGACUAGAGUAUGGUAGAGGGAAGUGGAAUUCCGGGUGUAGCGGUGAAAUGCGUAGAUAUCCGGAGGAACACCAGUGGCGAAGGCGGCUUCCUGGACCAAUACUGACGCUGAGGUGCGAAAGCGUGGGGAGCAAACAGGAUUAGAAACCCCAGUAGUCC
rnacentral:rRNA from 1 species